rnacentral:lncRNA from 1 species
GAAAAGAACACCAUAAUCUCUUCAGAUGUUAACACGCAAACACACAUGCACACCCAAAUUUUGAAUUUUAAGUUAGAAACAAUUACUUUGGAGGCUAAAUUGUAUCUCCUCACAAUAGUUUUUAAAUCAGUCAAGAGGAUGGUUCUGGCAUGCUCGUUUCAUUAUCGAGAGACCUGAAGCAAGAUGGUUUUUGAGAUUUUUUUUGCAUACUUUUGAUUUCACAAAUGAGAAGAAACCAACUAGUUUAAGAUUGAGGCUUGGUUGUUCUUUUAUACCUUCAAUUUCAUAAGAAUGGUUUGGUUUCCUGAUGCGAAUGAGUUUAUGAAAUAUUGCAGAACAAGUUCAAGCUGGUACUUAUUUCUUAUUGUUGUCUGCAGGCUUUGUCAUAGGAAAGAAGAGUCCUGGCAAGAGAAAAGCUUCUGACAUAUCUGAACAAAACUCAAACACUUGGGAGAUAACUGCAAAAUUUGAGAACAUAACAUAUUGGAAUCACGACAGCCUGCCUUCAAAAGUUGAUGCUUUUGUGCGUUCCCUCCAUUGGUUAUCUGUGGCAGAAGCAGUAAGUUUCCUUUCAAUGCCCUUUGUCAUAUAGAAAGUUGACACACUGACAACUCUCUCUUUUUCUUUGAGCAUUUUGAUCAGAGGGCACAUGUACGAACUAAAUUGUCACUUGAACCCAAAUAGUUGUUUUGUUUUUUGGGCACAAAAUCUCGAGAAUGGAAAAGUAACCUGCAAAGAGAUGUGUGAGUGAACAGCUUAUGUGUAUGGCUAUUGAUUGACUUAACAGAAAUGAGCUAUUAAGCCCAAAGUCUUACAUCUUUCUUACUCUCAGUCCAUUUGGGAAAUAGACACUGGCAAGGUGUUGAUUAUCCAAAAGUGUUUUCUUGAAAAAACUUAAAUCAGAUUUUUAUUGGAACACAGAACCCAUUGCUUAGGAUUUGACCAACAUCUUAGGUUACUGAACUGAUUAUCCUUUUUGUUUGAGUAAAAAAAUAUUAGACCUUUGACCUUUAGUUAUCCUGAGAAAUUGAUUAUGAUUGCAGCUGCUUGAGCUAGUAAAGAGCUAUUACUCUCGAAGUCUUCAUUUUUCUUGCUGUUAGUCUAGAAGGAAAUGGACACUGGCCAGUUACUGCAUUCUUUUUUGUGGAGAAGUGUUGCCUUGAAAUAUUCAAAACUAGAUUCUCUUAUCUUUGUUGGAGCCAUUUCUAAUUUCCUUGCUGCGGUAAUUGCCUAGGAAAUACAGAAAAUCAUUGAUUAGGAUUUCACCAGCACGUAAAUUUUGUUGAACACUUGAGCUUUUUAUGGACAGAAGAAUAUUGAUCAAGUAAAAUUUAUUAUGCAUCUUCCAUGAGAAUUUUGGUUUAUAAUUGCAGCUGCACAAGCCAGCAGCAGCUGAAGAUUUGGCUUCUGCAUCUAUUGCUCUGGAGAAGAAGUGAUGAAGAAACGAGAAGAGCAUCUUCUGAAUUUUGCUACUACCCAAGUGUACUUCUCAUGCUAAACCAACUGUUUUGUCCUUUGAUUUUGCCCUCCAGCACUCCUGGAUCUGCAAAAUUAGUAAUUUAUAGUUUGUCUUUAUUACGAGUGGGAAAAUUACAUUUAACAUCAUGCAGCUUGGUCCGAAUUGUUAUUACCGUUGUAGUUUGAAAAAUUGCACUUUACAUCUUAAAUCAACAAAAAAUUUCAAAAAUCAACCAAAUGACAGAUCAAUCUUCUCUCUUCAAGUUAUGAAAACCUUCCUCUUUGCAAAUUCUCAAGACAUUAAAUUGAAACAUUAAGGCUGGUUAGAGCUUUGCAGUUUCUUGCCACUGUUUUCCACGAAAUCAGGACCCCAAUGAAUGGUGUUUUAGGUAAUUAGAAAAUUGCUUCUUUUUAUCCUUACAUUUGCUAACGCUGUUGGUUGCUCAACCCUGUGCUCUGCACUCUGAGUUAUUAGACUUCUUAGGACAUGAUUUAGGGCAUGUGUCAGAUGUUCAAGCUUCUGCAACUUUAUGAUUGACACUGCCACUAUUCUCAAUACGCGAACUUCUCCUGUCGAUCGUUGGGAAAAGGCAAAAGACGCCUCCCUUGAAUUCAUAAAACCAUAUCAUUCUAUGUAGGGGUGUUCAAAAAUAUUUAUUGUAAAGGUUUGUUAUAUAUGUUUAAAUGUAAGAAAAGGAAAUAAAAUCCAAGUCAACAAAUGAUUAAUUAAUUAAUUAAUUUGUAUCGUUCACUUAUUUUUGAAUUAAAUUACAUUAAUGAAAAAAUGGAGAGCCGAAAAUAGAUUUGUUAAAAUAUAGUAAAAUCUUUUACCGUUAAGAAUUAACACUAGUGGAAGAAUUUACCCGUUCUAAACACUAAAGAGUUCUGUCUUUCUCACCUAAUCAUAAAAAUGAAUCUUUGGGAUGUGAGAAAUCUUUUGCCGAUCUUCACCCAUCUCCUCCUUCCCGUAACGUUUCCUUAGAAUGGGGCAACUAUUUAAAUUAAUAUAUUUUCUCUCUUUUAUUUUGUUGAUAUAGCCUCUUUAAAAUUACAAUUAUUUUUAAUUAUUUUGUAUGCAUUUAUUUUUAAAAUAUAUUAUUAUAAUUCAUUUAUAAAUGUUUUUUGUGUUUUAUAUGAAUAAAAAAUAUUUAUUUAUAAUAUUUAUAACAUGUAUAACCUUAUAUGUUUUUUUUUAAUUCAAUCAAUUUUACAUGUAUUUAUUUUUAUUAUUGUUUAAUUGAAUGAAAAUUUGAUUUUGAUAAACAAGGAUAUUUAAUACAAUCAGAUGAAAUACUUGUAUUGUAAUGUUAAAGAUCUUGAUUUAUCUAUGUUUAUCGAUAUUUCAUUUUGUCUUCAUUUAUUGUUAAUAUUUUUUUAUUUUUUUAUUUUUGUCAUACACAUUAUUCUCAAUAUAUUUGAUUAUAUUUAUGCAUAAGUUUUUUUAUUUAUUUAUGGUUAUAAUUUUUUUUAUGUACAAAUAUGUGUUGGAAAAAUCUUCAUAUAUAAUUUUUUUAUAUAAAAAAAAUAUGUUUGAUGCACUAACACGUGAGAGCUUUCACUUUUAAUUUGCAUAAUAAAAGAUUUGUUUUUGUCCUUAUGUUUUUUUUUAUUGAUCCUUUUAAUAUUGCACUGAUCUUAUAUUGAUUUUUAUGAUUUGAUUUUAUGCCAAUGAUGGGACCUUUUAGUGCUGGGGAAAUAUUACGUGCUUGGUUGAUUCUCAAUUUUAAAAAAAUCAAAAUCAAUUGCAUUCGUAUAAAAGAACUAGAAAUUCAGGUAUUGGAAUUGAAGACUAAAUAAAUGUGCAAUUCCUUUUGUUUGCUAACAUUGAGAAUUGAUUUGCAUAUUCAAUGAAAAAAAAAUCAAAUUCAAUUUUAGCAGUGGAUUGAUUGCCAUGAUCUAGCUAGCAGAAUUUGCUAGUGUUUUUUUUAAUUUAAUCAUUUUAUAUUUAAAUUGUUGAAAUUUGACAUAAUAAUUUUUUUUAAUUGCUUUGUGGGGUUAUUUUAACUUUAUAACUUGAGUCACGGUUUUAACAUACUAAUUAAAGUUGAUUCGAAUUAAUUUUUAUAAUAAAAAAUUAAUAUCAUUAUUUAAUAUUGAAUAAUAUAAAAAUUGAAUUUGUAAUUAUUUUUUGGGAACACUUUUUUAAGCAGGUCAUGCUAAGUGUUAUUAUUAAAAGAUCACAUGGUCAACCCAAGAAGUUCACAAAGAACACACAAUCAAAAACGCAAAAAAACAAAAAGGUUUCUUGAAUUUCAACCAAAGAACAUAACAAAACCGAUAAAAUAAAAUAAUACAUGUUUACUUACAGAAGAUUCAUUGACUAAAAUAGAUGGCAAUUUCUUCUUAGUUGCAAUAACAACACCGUUUGCCACUACAACACCGUUUCCGCUACAACACCAAAAAAAUAAUAAAAUCAACAACAUAGUACAUUCGAAAAUGACAAGAAAAUGAGAUGGAUAAUUUAUUUGAUUAGAUGUAUAUAAAUUUUUUAAUUUAUUAUAUUUUUUAAACUAGAAAAAUAUAUUUAAAGAACUAAAUUUUUAUAAAAAAUAAAAUUAUUUGACUUGCAAUAAAUCACUCAUAUUUUUUUAAAAAAUAAAGAUGGAUAAACUCUGAAUUAGGUUUUUUUUUUUUUUUUGCUGAAUUUUGUUGUUGAUUUGUAUUUUAAUUAUUGUUGAAGAUGUUUUGUGAUAGGUUUAGAUAACUUUAUUAGGAUUUAAUCCACAAAAUUGAUGGGUAUCAUCUCUUAUAGAUUAAUGGUUUAGCUUCCAAGUCUACCAUUCUCUCAUUUAUUUGGACUUGAUCCACUGAAACUGAGACUUUAAGAAUUUCUUGGAUUUAAUCCACUGAAACAGUUGAUUGAUCUUCACUAGGAUGGCAAUUGCGAAUGAAUGGAGGAAGCAUCAAUAUCAUUGGCUUGUUUAAAGGCAGAUAAAGGCAUUAAAAAAAAAGCUUGAGGAUUUAUUUUCUUUAUGUUAUUUUUGGAAUGAUAUAUUUUCCUAUAUUUGGAAUGAUAUAUUUUCUUUAUGUUAUUUUUGGAAAUAUGAAAAAUAAUAAAAGAAGAAAAAGAAGAUUCUUUAAUAAAAUCCAAAUAUAUACUUGAGGAUUUAAAAUAUUAUUUUUAUUUAUUCAAGUUAAAAGUAUGAUAGGAAGAAAAAAGGCCAGGUAAAUCAGGUUGUUGCAGAUGGUAGAAAAAUACCUGUAGAGCAACGAUCGUGGUUAACUGCUCCAAGAUCGGAGAUACAAGUGCCUCAGCCAUCGUCUGUUUAGCUCUGAUUGGGGCGAGAGAGAGAGAAGCAAUGAUGACGGGAUGAGCAGAGAGAAAGAGAAGGUGAAGAAAAGGAGGCGGCUGAUUGUGAAUGGAAGUUAGUUUAUAUACUUAGGGUUUGGCGUUGCAGGUGAAGCUUGUAUUUUAGUGUCUCAACAUUUUGUUUUUAUUAGUUUUUGGAGGGCUGUGGUAAAGGGAGAGCACAACUUGUAGGUUGAAAAAAAAAAAAAUUGAAGCUUGUAUUUAAGUGUCUCAACAUUUUUUUAUAUUAGUUUUUGUAGUGUUUCAAAAUUUAAUAUUUUUUUAAAAUAUUGUUGAAAUGCAAUAUCAAAAGGCAUAUCCUAGAAAAUAAAACUUUCUAGUAUCGAUUAAGAUGAACCUGCCUUUACAUAUUGUUGAUAAUACUGUUGCGGGUUGAAAACAUUUAGCGACACUAAAAAGUGUCCUUAAAUAUAUCUUGAAGAGCCUUUACAUAUUGUUUUCUGGUUUUGUUUUUUUUUUUUUAGUGCAACGAUAAUAAAAUAUGAUGUUAAUUUUAGCAAUGAAGAGAUAAAAUAUAACUUUUCUUUCAUAUGUUCUUUAAUUAUUCUACAAAACAAUAUAACUUUUUUGUUCUAUGUUCUUUAUUGAAAAGAAAUAAAAAAAUAAACAAUGCUUUGAAAUUAAAAUAAAAAAGAUUAAAAAAAAAAAAACUUUUUUAGACAACAUUUUAUAAAAAAAUCAUAACGUUAAUCAAAAUAACAUUAAUCCCUAAAAAUCAAAGAUUUCAUAGCUUGUCAUUUUAUGGCACUAGCCUUAAUAUAUAUAUAAUCUUAACUGUUAUAUAUAAAAAAAAUUAGCUUAAAUUUUGCCAUCUUCAAUCUCUAAAAUAGGAGAUUUCAUUAAUUUUUAAAUUUUUAAAUUUUUUUUACAUUAAUCCCUAAAGACCUAAAGACAAUAGAUUUCAUAAUUUCUUGAAUUUUAAUACAACUUUGAUGUUAAUCCCCGAUGAUUUGAAAUUUCAUCACUUUUUAAAAUUUAAUGAAAUUGACAUUAUCCCUAAAAUUAUGACAUUUCAUCAUUUUUUUGAAUUUUAACAAAAUUUUUGAACUUAAUGAUAUUAAUUUUCUUGAUAAUUUUUUUCAAUACUUAAUUAAUCAUGACAAUAGAUAUGAAUGCUAUUAAUUUUCUUCCUGUUAUAGAGUAGAUACCUUGCUUUUAUGUCUUUUUUAUUUUAGGGGUAUUUAAAAAAACCGAAAAACCAAAAAAACCGAUAAAACCGAUAAAAAAUUAACUGAAAAAACCGAACCGAAUAAUAAAACAUAUUAGAUUAUAUAGGAAAAACCCCGGUUCGGUUUGGUUUUUAGUUUUACAGUGCAAAAACCGGGUUAACCGGACCGAAAAAAAGGUCCCUGCUCCCUAAUAUAAAUAGAAAAAUUUGCUGCACGCCGCGCCCCUCUCUUCUCUCCGCUAACCCUAAACAGUAAACUUUCAAUUUCAAUUUUCAAUCUCUCGAUUCUCUCCUCUUAGACUCUCAGUCUCAAUCUCUCACUACUCACCUCUCGCUCCCUCGCCCUCUCGCUUCUCCUCUCCCUCUCCACUCUCCUUAGACCGACCACCGGCGUUUCCUCAACGGCUCAACCUCUCAAAAGUCAAAACCAGUGAGUUUUAGUUUUUUUUCCCCUUUUCUAAUUAAUUAAUUCAGUUAAGGAUAGUGUUAUUUUUAAUACUGUUAAGCUAAUUUUUUUGACGUUUCUUUCUAAGUCUCCAGACUCUCCACUGGAUCACGAUCAACACAGUCGGUGACUCGUGUUUCUUCCUCAGCCUCUCAAAACCAUUAAACUAGUGAGUUUUAUUUUUUUUCUCCUUUCUAAUUAAUUCAUACAGUUAAGCUUAUUGUUAUUUUUAAUUAAUUUUGUUGGGUGAUGAAUUCUAGUUUAGGUUUAAAUUUGAAUUUAGAGUUAUUUAUUGGAUUAUGUUCCUGAACCCUGUAACAUCUCGUGAAUCUGGUUGGUGGGUGUAACUGUAUUUCCUUAAAGAUCUUAACUCACUGCACAUCAUGAACCCUCUAUAUAUCCAUGCUUUUACAUUUUCUACAAAAAUAGACAGAUUCAGGUUAGUUUCUCACAUGUAAGAUUUUCUAUGAAAAAUGGAUCACCAAAUCAUACAUGAAUGCACUUCUAAGCAUAUUCUUCAUUUCAACUAUAUAAGAUAAAGUACAUAUUUUUAAUUAAUUAUUACUAACAUUAUAAUUACUUGUAAAAAAAAACAAUAUAACUACUAUGGAACCUAUAAUUCUUUUUCAUUUUUUUUAUCUCCUGACUUGCUAAGAAAUUAUCUAUCUCCAUUGUGUAAAGAAGAAACAACAAGAACUCUAAGAUGAAUUCAAUAUAUAAUGAUUCUCUAAAAUAGUAGUGCAGUGUUCUUUAUUUUCGUGGAAUUCAAAGAGUCGAACAGGAUGUUUGAAACAUUUAGUAAAGCAUUGAUAGGCUAGCUAUUUCGAUAAAAUGUAUAGCUUUUUUUUUUUCUUUUUUAUUAAUUUCUUAUUUGUUGAUAAAAGUAUCUUUAAAUUAAUUUUUUUGUCAGCUAAAAUUAAAUAUCUUCACAAAUAAUUUUAUGGGCACACUUUCAUAUUGAUAUGAUGUAUUUUUAAAAUUAAUAAAUUACCUUAAGUGAAGAUAAAUUUAAAAAAUCAAGGAAGUGAAUAAACUAUAUUAACACCAAUCUCUUAAAAUUAAAAUGUAUAGUUAUUUCAAAAUGCUAUGAAAUGGUUCUAUAAAAAAAGUGUUCAUGGUAGAACGGAGAAGCAUUAAGCUUUUCUGAUUGGCAUAGAAAUCUGAAAUCUUUUUUUAUUAUUAUUUAGUAUUAGUAUUACAAACUAAUUAUAAGAUUUAAAUGAGUUAAAGCUUAUUCUUUCGGUAAUUUAGGGCUAUUAUAAUUAAGAAUUAACUAUAUAUAAAGUGUGACAUGACCCUCGCGAGCAACUCAAGUGAAUAAUAGGAAUAACCGAAUAAGUAUGUUUUACUUCCUCAAUUUUAGGAACAAUCACUUUUAGUCUGUUAACUCUAAGUGGUUGAUUGCUGCAUGUUGAUUCUGUAAACUAGUUUUGUUUUGAUGGGUUUUUUUAUUCGGUUUUGUUUUGUCAUUCUGGAAGUAUUCAUUAUUCUGUUUGCAUUUGAUUCUGUAACCAAGUAGUUUGCAUUUGGUAAUUACAGAUGAAAAACCUUCAAAAUCAAAAUGCUUCAUCCAUUGGCACUACCCCAACAUCAACCAAUGCCCCAGCUUCAAACACUAACCCAACAUCAACUACUGUAGGAUCCACCACGGAUAAUAAAGGUAAACAACUUCAAGUCCUUGCAUCUAGAAAAAGAAAUGUUGAUGAUAAAAAGAAGUCAUAAAUUUGGGAUCAUUUUACAAAACUUGAUGGUGAUCCUAAAACCCCUAGAGCUGAAUGUAAUUAUUGUGGAAAGGAUUAUGUAUGUCAUACUAUUAUUAAUGGGACAAGUAAUAUGUGGAGUCAUUUGAAAGUACGCAAAAAGUUUCCUUUUGUGGUUGAUAAGAAGCAAAAUUUUUUGGUAUUAGAACCUAAUAAAGUAGGGGGUGAAUUAGGAGAUCGAAGUGUGGGAACUCUUAAGGCAAUAGGUUAUGAUUAUGAUGAAUGCAGAAAGACACUAGUGAAAUUGGUUAUAAUUGAUGAGUUGCCUUUUAAUUUUGUGGAAGGUAAGGGAUUUAGAUUAUAUUCUAGGACCUUAGCCUAGAUUUGACAUUUCUUCUCGUUUCACUGUUAUGAGAGAUUGUUUGAAACUUUAUGUUAAAGAGAAGGAAAGAUUAAAGAGAGCUCUUAAGGGUCCACGAUUAUGCUUAACAACAAAUACAUGGACAUCAAUCCAAAACAUUAACUAUGUCCUUAACGGCUCAUUGGAUUGAUAAUGAAUGGAAUUUGCAUAAAAGAAUUCUGAAUUUUUGUCAAGUUUCCAAUCAUAUGGGUGAGACAAUUGGUCAAGUUAUUGAGAAUUGUUUGUUAGAUUAGGGGAUUGAUAAACUUUUAACUGUUACAGUAGACAAUACAUGCUCUAAUAGUGUUACUAUUUCAUAUUUGAAGAAUGUGAUGAAAGAUUGGCCAACUAACAUAUUGUCAAAUGAACAUUUGCAUGUUAGAUGUUGUGCACACAUUGUCAACCUCAUUGUAUCUGAUGGUUUGAAAGAGAUGAAUGUUUCGGUUGUUAAGAUUCGAAAUGCAAUUAGGUUUGUGAGAUCUUCACCCUCUAGGCUACUUGCAUUUAAAAAAUGUGCAAAAAAGUUGCAUAUAGAGUGUAAGAAAUCAUUGUGUUUGGAUGUUGCAACUCGAUGGAAUUCAACUUAUCUUAUGUUAGAAGCUGCAAAAGUUUGAAAAGGUGUUUAUGAGGUUAAGUCAAAGUGAAUCUAGGUAUAUGAGUUACUUUUUGGAGGUUGAUUCAAAGGGGAAUAAAAAAAACAUAGGGCCUAGUUUGGAGGAUUGGGAAAAUGCUAGAACUUUGCUGAAGUUUUUAAAGAUCUUUUACAUGGUUACAUUGAAAUUUUCUGGCUCAUUGCAUGUUACAUCAAAUUCUUUCUUCAAUGAAUUGAUUUACAUGCAUACAAACUUGUUGCAAUUGUGUAAAAGUAGAGAUAAUCUUUUGAAUGGAAUGGCGAUGAACAUGAUGAGUAAGUUUGAGAAGUAUUGGGGUUGUGGAGCAAAUCAGAAUUUUUUAUUGUAUGUGGCUAAUGUUUUGGAUCCACGUCUUAAGUUGAAAUAUGUGAAAUUUUGUUUUGGUGAGUUGUAUGAUUAUGACAAAGCACAAUUGCUAACAAAAAAGUGAAAGAUAAUUUGGUGAGCUUGUAUGAGUUUUAUUUGAAAGCCAAUGAAGUGGUGGAUGAUAAUAGGCAUAAACAAGAUGAUAAUGAUGCUAUUGAUGACAUGGAGGUAGAUGUUAACACUUUAGCUCGGUUCAAAAGGCACUUACAAGAGGAAGAUAGUGUGGAAAAUAGAAAUGAGGUUGAGAGGUAUUUGGUGAUGGUUGUGAGGAUCCUAAUGAUUAUAAAUUAGAUAUUUUAGGUUGGUGGAAGAUUAAUGCUUCAAAAUAUAAGAUACUUUCGAAAGUUGCACAACAUGUUCUUGCUAUUCCUAUAUCCACAGUGGCUUCCGAAUCAGCCUUUAGCACAGGUGGUCGUAUACUCGACCAAUUUCGAAGUUCUCUAUCUCCAGCAACAGUUCAAGCACUUAUUUGUUGUCAAAAUUGGUUGCAUCAUGGUCCAAUUUCAACUGAUAAUACAACCUUGAUGAAUGAUUUGGAAACCUACGAAAACCUUGAAUCAGGUAACGUUUCUUAAAAAUUUACACCUUUUAUUUUAUUAUUUAUUAAUUAACACAUUUUUAUUCUAACAUGUUUAAUAUUUUAUUUUGUAGAAUUUGGUGGAAAGUUGCAUUUAGCAACGGAUGAUAAUUAGUUCACAAAUUGUGAUGCAUUAUUGAAAACGUAUGGUAUAAAUAUUUUUUUUUUAAUUUUUAUAUCUUCUGAUUUAAUUUAUCAUGUUAUAAUUCUAGAUUAUGAAUUUCAGGAAUCAAAGUGCAAUGCUCUUGAAGUGCUUUUUUAUUGAGAUGAUGUGCACAUGAAGAUUUAUUUUUUGUGGCUUGGAGUGUUUUAUGAUAAUGUUAUUUGUUGUUUUUUUGUUAAGCCCUUUGAAGGCAAUGGUUUGUAUUUUGUAAUUUGGAUUUUAACUUAUUGGUGUGUGAUUGUGAGUGUGUGUAGUUUAUUUAAACUUUUUGGAAGUAGAAAAAUAUUAGUAAGUUAAAAAAUAUAUUGAAUACAAGAUUGACACUAAUAAUUUCAUAUAAAUGAAUAUUCAAUGGCCAAAAAAAUUAAUAAACAUAAGAUUGAUAAUAAUAAUUUAAUACAAUUGAAUAUUUAAGGGUAAAAAAAUUAAAUAUAUUUGGAAUCUUCAAAGAAAAUGAGACAAUAGCAAAAUUAAUUGUAAGCCCACCAGAAAUCCAUUAGAAACCAUUACAAAGCCCAUUAAAAAGCUUAUUAAAGGUCAAAAAAAGCCUAAAAAAUGCAUAUAGGUUUGUCCGGUUUUUUGGAUAAAAACCGACCGGAACCAGCCAGUUUGGGCCGGGUCCGGUUCGGUUUCGGGUUUUUUUUUUUUUUCAAUUUAGUUGUUUUAUUUGGGUAAAAUCCAAACCGAACGGGAAAUGAUUAUAUGGCUGUUCACAACCGUGCUCUCACCAAUGCAACUUGUUAGAGCUACAAUCGAUAAAGUCAAGCUCAGACAGCGAAUAAAACAGAAAACUACAGAUUUCUCAACCCAUACCUGCUGGAGAUUCAACAGACUAUGUGAGUGCUUCAAUUUGAGGUCACGCUGAUAAAUGAGGUUCUAGAUCAGGCUAAGAUAGAAUCAGGAUGGCUAGAAUUGGAAGAAAACUUUCAAAUCUGACUUCAAAAAAUGGACUCCAGAUUUGGUGUUUUGGAUUUUCUCAUCGUUUGAAUUGCGAUUGUGGGUUUAUGGGUGGAGUUGAUGGCUGGUGAGGGAUCAAAGGGAAGCCUAGCGAUUGUGUGUGGAAUGAAGAUUGGGUUCCUCUUCUCUGCAAAUUCUUUAAACCCUCAAUUGAUCAAAACCUAUGUCUCUUCUUCAUAUCCUAAAACCCUAGAAGAAGCAAAACCCGCGUUUGAUGAUCCAACAUCAAAAGAAGCAAUGGAAUCAUUAACUUCAACAAAGUCCCUUGAAGAAACUUACCAAACAACCACACCCUUGACUGAAAAUCAAGAGGAAGAGGAAGAAGAAGAAGAAGAGGGGGGGGCUCUUUAGUCAUUAAAUAAAUUAUAAUUUAUAAUCACCAUUUUUAUUUUUUCUUUGAGAAGAUGUUAAGUGUGCAUAUAAAGUUUAAAUUGUACUUAAUUUUCGAAUAAAACAAAAUCAAUUUUUAUAAAGUUUGAUUAUACAAAAAAAUAAUCUAAUCAAGAGUUCUGUUUUACUAUCUAAAAAAUAUUUUUUUCUACCUCGUACAUGGCUAUUAUUAUAGUUAUUAAAUUCAAACGAUUUGAUAGAUCGAUUUGAAAAUUGAUUGAUUCGGUGGUUAAAUUAAUUCGAGUAAAAUAAAAAACUGAUAAAAACAAAAAACCAAUCAAAUUUAAUGAAUCUAAUAAGUUAACCCGUGAUUCACCUAACCCGAGUGAAUACGGUUGAGACCCAGCUUAUAUAUAUAAUAAUUUUAUUGAACACUGCACCAAACAUCAAAGGAAAGUUAAAGUUUGUGACCUAAUGUCUUUCUUCGAACAACCAAAAGAUCUAUUAGCUACUUCCUCUUUGAACAGCCAAGAGAUCUAUUAGCUAAAUUGGAGAUAUCGGUGUCCAGCUGGUGCUACUUCUCCAGGUGCUUUAUCUCUCCUAUGUUGAUAUUUAUGUCCAAGCUAUUUGUACAUGCUUAGUAAAAACCAGAAGCAUAAGUGAUUGAGUAUAUGUUCUAUUUUCUUCGUCUUUUAGAGAGACGCAUGCGAAUUUCCGUGAAUGGUGAAUUAGCCCAGACCUAUUUAAGAAUCAUACACAAGGCAAAUGCAGAUGUAGCAGUCCUAGUUUAGCACCUUUAGAAAAAGAAAGAACUCAUGGAAGUGGUGAUUCAUAUUUGAGUUUCAUGUUAAAUGAAUUAUUCUGUCUCCUACCACAAGAUUUGUAACUACAUUUCAAGACCUAUAUCCAGAAUGAAUAUGAAUGUGAAUUCAAUCAAAGUACUGUUCCGGGGGAGUAAAAGAAUACUUGAUAUAGGUGCUUGACUAGGGUUGACUUGGAUUGACUCGGGUUGACCCGCGUCAACCCAUCAGAUCUGUGACUCAAUUAUUUUACCGAGUUAAUUAGCUGGUCGGGUUUUAUAACUAGAGAUACCAAAAAUAUUCUUAUACUAUUUUUCGUGAUAAAGUCGACUACAUUUUACACGAUUCCUUCGUUUCAAAGUUAAAUCGAAUUUGUCUUUUCCCUUUUGUGGUUGAGAUUGUUUGAAUGUCCUUGUGUUGACAGGAAAAUAUUGAUGAACAGAUGAAGAUUCUCUCCAUUUCCCUGGAUACAAAGGCUUCAUAAGGAUUCAUGGCAUUCUCUCAGAACCGAUAUUAGUACAUAGAUUUCUUUAUUUGCUCUCAAGAUGUCAGAGGCAGCUGAUCCUGGAGAAGUGGAAUAUGACGAGGUUGGAUAUGCUAUUAAAAGUAACUCUAUUUCUUAAGUAGUUUUUGUUUGCUGCAGUCUCCCAUGGAUUAAACAUUUCUAUAAACAAACUUGGGAUUUAGGUCAUUUCAUUCCCCUUUGAUUGUCCUUGAUUAUUGUUAAAAUGAAAAUGCAUGCGAGACUAUCACUGAAGACUGGAAAUGAUGGUGUUAUUGAUGGGCUAGAAUGGUUUUUAUGUUUACAGCAUACGGGCAGGUGGAGGUUUAAGCCAAGGGGAUUGCACAUCACUUGGAGUAGCAACCCAGAUUAUUGGACGAUGCCUGAGAAAGGGUACUGAUAAUUUUCCUUUAUUCAAUUUCAGUGCUGUCUUUUUCUGAGAAAGAAAUAAAAUUACAAUUCUUAAGAACUGUUUAAUAAUCAAUGAUAUGGAGAAAAGUAUCACAGAACAGGAAUUUUCUGACUUAGAGCACAUUUGAUGCACACGUCCUACACAUAAAUUACAGGACGGAUGACCCUGCAGAGUUGAAAAUGGUAUGCUGGCUUGAAAUAGAGGGCUCAACCCCAAAACCCCUAUCGAAAGGGGAGAGGUAUGCACUGAGCUUCAAAAUAUCUAUGGCAGAAGGCACAUCUGGUUGGCAAGAAGCUCCUGCUUUCAUGAUGGCUAAGGUAGGGAAGAAAGGAAUUGCCAAAUGGGCAAGAAUCAAUCUGGCAGAUGUGCAGGUAGAUGGCGUAAUGGAAGUUCCUUUAGGCAAGCUUCAGUUUGAAGUUCCAGAAAAUGCUCAAGAUACCACACUCUACUUCGGAUUCUAUGAAUUGUGGUCGGGAGGAUGGAAGAGAGGUUUACGAAUUCAUGAGGCUGUAGUUGAAAAAAUGCCAGAUUUACCAUCCUAGAGUUAUUAUGGCCAAAUGUAUCCGAAAGAUGUUUUUUUUUGUGAAAUAUCUUAUGAAUCCAAGAAAAAAAAAUCUGUAAUACAUCAUAAAAUCCUGCGAUUGAAUCUGCAAGAUUCUAUAGUCUAUCGUUUUCCAGAAUUUAAGAGCAAAGUCCACUGGACUUUGGUUCAGAUUAUAAUGGAUAACUCUCCCUCCUCUCUAAUUAACCUGCCUAACCUAUUGACUUUUUUGUGGAGAAGUGUUGCCUAGAAAUAUUCAAAACUAGAUUUCUCUUAUCUUCGUUGGAGCCAUUUCUAAUUUCCUUGCCGCAGUUAUUGCCUAGGAAACAUAGAAAAUCAUUGAUUAGGACAUCACCAGGAUGUAAAUUUUGUUGAACACUUGAGCUUUUUUAUGGACAGAAGAAUAUUGAUCAAGUAACAUUUAUUAUGCAUCUUCCAAGAGAAUUUUGGUUUAUAAUUGCAGCUGCACAAGCCAGCAGCAGCUGAAGAUUUGGCUUCUGCAUCCAUUGCUCUGGAGAAGAAGCGAUGGAGAAACGAGAAGGGCAUCUUCUGAAUUUUGCUACUACCCAAGUGUACUUCCCAUGCUAAACCAACUGUUUUGUCCUUUGAUUUUUCCCUCCAGCACUCCUGGAUCUGCAAAAUUAGUAAUUUAUAGUUUGUCUUUAUUACUGAGUGGGAAAAUUACAUUUAACAUCAUGUAAUUUGGUUGGUUCGAAUUGUUAUUACCGCUACAGUUUACAUUUUGGAUCCACAAAAAUUUUCAAAAAUCAACCAAAAGACAGAUCAAUCUUCUCUCUUCUCUUCAAGUUAUCAAAACCUUCCUCUUUACAAAUUCCAAAACCUUAAAUUGAAAUAUUAGACCUAUUUAUUUUUAUUUUUGUGUUUUAAAAGUAUUUUUUAAAAUUUUUAUUUUUUUAUUUUAAAUUAAUAUAUUUUUAGUAUUUUUAAAUUAUUUUGAUGUAUUGAUAUUAACAAUAAUUUUUUAAAGAUAAAAAAAAUAUUAUUUUUAUAUAUUUCUGAAUAAAUUUUUUUUAAAAAUUAACUAAGACUAUAUAUGAAAGGGCUGGUAAGAGCUUGCAGUUUCUUGCCACUGUUUUCCACGAAAUCAGGACCCCUCCAUGAAUGGUGUUUUCUUGCAGUUUCUUUGCAAAUUCUUGAAACCCUCAACUGAUCCAAACCUAUGUCUCUUCUUCAUAUCCUAAAACCCUAGAAGAAGCAAAACCCGCCUUUGAUGAUCCAACAUCAAAAGAAGCAAUGGAAUCAUUAACUUCAACAAAGUCCCUUGAAGAAACUUACCAAACAAACACACCCUUGGCUGAAAAUCACAGGAAGAAGAGGAGGGGUGGGGGCUCUUUAGUUAUUAAAUAAAUUAUAAUUUUGGAGCAAAUGUAUUGACAAGAAUUUCACAGUUGUUUGAUAAAUACAUGGAUAUGCUAUUUAAGUCCCUACCAGGCCCCUCUGAUGAUGACAAUCUCACAGAGCUGAAGGAGGUUAUACAAUUCAGAGCUGAAACUGAUUCGGAGCAGCUUGCACUUUUGGGAUUAGCAUUUACUAUUCUGGAUGAGCUUCUACCACUUGCUGUAAUGAAAGUUUGGAGUCUAAAAAAUGAAAGCAAGGAGUUGGAAAGUGAAAGUACCGUGCCUAAUGCAAGCAUUACUGCAGAACUGAAGGAAUGGAAGCGCAACCUUCAGCAUUCUUUUGACAAGCUUAGAGAUCACUUCUGUCGGCAAUAUGUUUUGAGCUUCAUCUAUUCUAGAGAAGGAAAAACACGAUUAAAUGCACUAAUUUAUUUAAGUGGGGAAGGGGAGGAUUUGUACUGGGGCUCUGAUCCUCUUCCAUCGUUGCCAUUUCAGGUCAUCCUUCUUCUCCUAUUACUGAUCCCCCCCCCCCCCUCAAGGUCUAUUAUGUUACUCUUGGAAGUGUAUGGGUUAUCUUAAUUUCUCGUGAUCCUUGUAACUUUAGGCCACUUCACGAAUCCAAUUCCACUGUCAUUGUGAUCACAUUCAUACUGACUUUUACACUAUCUCCAUUUCUUUUCUUUUGAACUGUUUCCAUUUCUCUUCUAAAGGCAAGUUUGUAACUUUUAAAUAUUGAAUAUCAACCUGUCAUUUCCACUGCCGAACUUAUUCCCAUUCCCAGAUAUUGGAUUGAAUCGAUAAUGAUAUACUCAUUAGAUCUCAGAUCUCAUGUUGAAUUUCUCAUUUAAUAAGCACACCUAAUAUUUGUGUCUUGAAGAAAAAUCAAAUCUCCAUACUCUUUAGCACUCUGCGAGUUUUUUUAGUUCUUUGUGAUCUUUUGUUUUUAACUUUUUGAGUAGUAUCAAAUUGUGUGGAUGCUUUGAUCUGACUCUAUUUUACUUGCAAUUCAACUUAAAACAUGCUCUUGAGAAAUGCAUAACCAGGCCAAGGAUCUUGAAUCCGACCCCCUUCUCUCACUCGAGCCACCAAGCAGAAAUUGGGAUUAAUAUGCAUUGUUGCACCAGUGUACUUUUGGUACUGAAGAUAUGUUUUACUGCAGGCCUUAUUUGCAAAGCUUCAGCAAUUAGCAAUUGUAGCUGGAGACGUGUUGCUUGGGAGAGAGAAAAAACAGAAAAAUUUGCUUGCUAGGCUAACAGAGACUGUUGUGAUGUGGCUGUCUGAGGAGCAGGAAUUCUGGGAUGUAUUCGAGGAUGAAUCAGUUCCACUCAAACCACUUGGCUUGCAGCAGGUAUUUUGUUAUUCCCUCCGAGAGGAUUCUGGGGUGUGGUGUUUCUGUCUUUUUCCUAUGUGUUUUCGGAUGCAGUUUUUUGCUUUGUUUUAGGAAUUAAAUUGUUUUGUGUUGGUCAUAAUGCAUUACCUGCUCUUUCCCAGUUAUUAGAAAAUUAUUUUCAGCAAAGGAUGAUCUUUAUUCUUUCUCCUCUACCCAAGCUUGUCCUUUGUUAAAUAACUUCUAUAAGGAAUAAUCUUCCUUCUAUAUCACAAGCUAAGAGUGCAGGAUUAAUUGAGUAUUGUGAAGUCUGCAAAUUGAAAAGUUGAUGAAUUGAAAUUUAAUCAAUGAGUCAGUGACUUGGUCCAUCAACUGGGUUGAUUUGAUCUCCUUGUUAACUGCUCUCCAUCUACUCUGUAUUCUAAGCUACUUGAAUUUGUUUUUGCAGUUAAUACUUGACAUGCAUUUCACUGUUGAAAUUGCUUGUUUUGCCGGUUACCCAUCUCGACAUGUGCAACAGAUUGCAUCAGCUAUAAUUACUCGAGCAAUCAGGACCUUCUCAGCAAGAGGCAUAGAUCCACAAAGGUACUCGUAGUUCAUUUCCACUGAACACUGCUAUUCUUACUGGCAACUGAUUUUUCCAACUUUUUUCUGCACAGUGCACUUCCUGAGGAUGAAUGGUUCGUUGAAACUGCAAAGACAGCCAUCAAUAAACUUCUGUUAGGAACAUCUGGGUCAGACGCAUCUGAGAUUGACGAGGACCAUGUUAUCCUACAUGAUGAAAUGGUCUCAGACUCCGAUGAGACUUCUUCCCUUUCAUCAACAGAAUCAUUUGAAUCUUUUGCUUCUGCAAGCAUGGGUGAACUAGAUAGUCCCGUUUAUUUCACUGGUUCUGAGGGCUGAAGAUUUAUCCUGUGAUAUUGAUCUCUGCUCAAGAUUUUUAAUGUAAAGAUUCAAAUUGUGAAGCUUAGGACCGUGCCUUGUCAUCAGAAGUAAUGCUCACAAAUGUUGUAGGAAAGUAUGUUGUUGUAGUAUCUAGUAUAUUAGCCGAUAAAUGUAAUUGCAGAGCUGUUAUAUAAAGAUCAACGUUUCAUGCUUGCCAACAUUGUAGACUUUGUAGUUGCUAUUGCGAUGGAAGCAGAUGUCUCAUGUCAAGUUAGUUAAUUUAUGCAAUUUGGAAGGCAGAUUUUUACUCGGUUCUUAAAGCCGCCGCCGCCGCUGCUAUGGAAUUUAAGUAUUUAACCAGUGAAGAUUUUGAGCUUCUGCAAUGUUUCAUUUCUUUUCCCUCUAUUUACUCCUCUAGAUUCUGACAUGAAGCAUCAAUUCACGUCAUUGAACUGAUUAGUAUCUGCCAUUGCCAUUGUUUUUCUUCUAGGCAAUAACUAAAGUGUCAGUCGUUAAUGAACACAAAAUUAUUUAAUUUGAUUUAGUUCAUUUCCUAAUUCAAAUCAGCAAAGACUCUUUUUAGAAAUGGAGUAGCAUGUUCAUGAUUAUCCCUUAUAGAUUUUUUUUUUUUUUUACUAAAACAAAAUUAUUUUGAUCUUUUUUUAAAUUAUUUUUGAAUUAAUUUAUAUUUACCCUCUCAAUCACUUGGCUCUUUUAAUUCUAAUUUUAUUAUGUUUCAGGUUUUAAAAUUAUGUUUAGGGGUAUUAGAAGUAUGUUAGUGAUUAUUUUUGAAAGUGUUUUUCAUUUAAAAAUAUAUUAAAAUAAUUUUUUAAUUUUUAAAAAUAAAUUUUGAUAUUAGCACAUUAAAAUAAAUUAAAAAUAUAAAAAAAUAAUUUUUAACAUUAUUUUUUUAAAAUUUUAUCCCAACACCAUUUGAAACACAGGAAAGAACUUAUAAUGCCCAUAAGGCCAUAACUAUAGUCUAAUAAAUUAAUAAUAGCUUAUGAUCCCCAUCAGAAAGAAAUCCAUUGACUUAGUGUCGUCUUGGGCAGAUGACAAGUCGCACGUACAUCCCUCAAGAAUCUAAAGUUCAAAGCCAAGCCAGCCUUGUCUUGUCUGUCUAUCUAUUAGCCUUCUGUUUAGGGCUCUCUGUCUUCCAUUUUCCGAGGAGAAAAAGCGCGGGAAAACAGAAAACACAAAGAGAGAGGCUGGAAGAUUUCAAGGGCAAAUCAGAAAUCCAAAUCAAGAAAACAAUCAGCAAAAAUGGGUUUGGAUGGAAAUUCAAAAGCAGGAAUAACAGGAACUAUAAAUCAAAAGAAAUCAGAGACAGAAGUCCCAAAUUUAACAGGCAAAGUCCACUUACUACCUUGCUGCAUCAAAUAUGAUGGCCCUUCUGUUGUUUCUCACUACUUCAAACCCAAACCCACCUGUAAGUAAGUUCAGCUUUUUUUUCCCUGUUUGCCCAUUUGGCCUCCCUCUGUUUUGUACUGUUUCUUAUAAUUCUAUGUGUUUUGGUGCUUCUGUAGGUGUAGAAGUGGAAGAGAUGAAAGUUGAGGAAGCUCAUUUUAGAGGCAGGAAGUUACAGGGUGCCACACUUCCUAUUCCAGAUGGGUAUUCUGGUAAGCAUGUUAUAUUGUAACCCCGGAAAUUUUUUUAUACAAUUUUUAUGAUCCAAUAUGGGGAAAAAAUGGUUUCUUACUUGCACAAUGUGGGAAAUAAUUUGUGUCGGUUUGAUUCUUGUUUUUUUUCUUAGUCAUUGCUUUUGUUUGGGUGUUUCCAAUAUAUAUAUAUAUAUAUUUUUUUUUUUUUUUAUUAUGUGAAAUGGUGUAAAAUGGUUUCUUUGGACUUGGAGGGUUUUUGGCCCUCCUUUUUGCUGCAGCAGUUAAACUGAUAGCUUAAAAUUUUGAGUUGGGUGGUUCUGUGACAAAGCCCUCCUCAAAGGGGUAGUAUUUCUUCUCUCAUUUGUGGAUCCUAUGAUUAAUUGAGAAUUUGGCAAUGUUGUGAUGUUGGUUCAAAUUAAUAUUUUUUUUUGUUUUUGCAUGUUUAAUUGGGAUAGCGUGUUUUGUGGGUUAUUGUAGCAAUUGGAGCUGGAAUGUGAAAGUUAUUUAUACAGAUACCAUUGUUUUUACCUGGUAGUACUAAGUAUAGAUUGGGGUGGAGAGUGGUUAAAAAACUCUGAUAAGAACUAUGACCUCAUUCAAAGACUGAAACAUAGAAAAGAACACCAUAAUCUCUUCAGAUGUUAACACGCAAACACACAUGCACACCCAAAUUUUGAAUUUUAAGUUAGAAACAAUUACUUUGGAGGCUAAAUUGUAUCUCCUCACAAUAGUUUUUAAAUCAGUCAAGAGGAUGGUUAUGGCAUGUUCAUCUCAUUAUCGAGAGACCUGAAACAAGAUGGUUUUUGAGAUUUUUUUUGCAUACUUUUGAUUUCACAAAUGAGAAG